CGGACGGGUGAGUAACACGUGGAUAACCUACCUAUAAGACUGGGAUAACUUCGGGAAACCGGAGCUAAUACCGGAUAAUAUAUUGAACCGCAUGGUUCAGUAGUGAAAGACGGUUUUGCUGUCACUUAUAGAUGGAUCCGCGCCGCAUUAGCUAGUUGGUAAGGUAACGGCUUACCAAGGCAAUGAUGCGUAGCCGACCUGAGAGGGUGAUCGGCCACACUGGAACUGAGACACGGUCCAGACUCCUACGGGAGGCAGCAGGU
rnacentral:rRNA from 1 species